GACACAAAGUGAUUUCUGCCCAGUGCUUUGAAUGUGAAUAUGAAGUAAUUUAUAGAAGCUCAGGUAAACGGCGGGAGUAACUAUGACUCUCUUAAGGUAGCCAAAUGCCUCGUCAUCUAAUUAGUGACGCGCAUGAAUGGAUUAAUGAGAUUCCCACUGUCCCUAUCCACCGUCUAGCGAACCCACUGCCAAGGGAACGGGCUUGGAAUAAUCAGCGGGGAAAGAAGACCCUGUUGAGCUUGACUCUAGUCCGACUUUGUGAAAUGACUUUCGAGAUAUAGCCUAAGUGGGAGCUAACGCGCCGCUGUAAAACCACUGCUCGCUUAGCCAUUUUACUUACUCCAUGAAGAAGUGACCGUUCAUUCGGUUCUUAGAUUUAAGCCUUGACUCGUAUCAGGGCAAGCUUUGUGGAGGACACAGUCAGGUGGGGAGUUUUGACUGGGGCGGUACAUCUGUUAAAACGUAACGCAGGUGUCCUACGGUGAGCUCAAAGAGAACAGAAAUCUCUUGUAGACCAAAAGGGG
rnacentral:rRNA from 1 species